UAUAAACCACCUCUUUUGCAAAUUAAAGAUACGUGUUUGUCAUGGCCUUUUAAUUUUUCCUAAUAACAAGUUCUUUAAUCAUUUCUCACGAAACAAAACUCAACUGUCUUAGAAAUAUAUUAAUAUUCCCUGCGGCUCGGAUCUUGUGACACUGCACAUGUUGAGGACAGCUAAAUUUACGUUACUAAACGUUGCUUGUUUCGUCUCGUCUC